GGGCCUGUAGCUCAGCCUGGAUAGAGCAGCAGCCUUCUAAGCUGAAGGUCGGGGGUUCGAAUCCCUCCAGGCCCG
rnacentral:tRNA from 1 species